rnacentral:piRNA from 1 species
UGUAAGCAUGAUAUGCUGGGUACAUGGGGU